rnacentral:rRNA from 1 species
AAUGAACGUUGGCGGCGUGGAUUAGGCAUGCAAGUCGUGCGAGAAGUUCUCUUAGCUUGCUUUGAGAACGGACAGCGGCGUAAGGGAGAGUAACGCGUGGUUACGUGCCCUCGAGACCGGGAUAGUGUCGGGAAACUGGCAGUAAUACCGGAUAAUAUCUUCGGAUCAAAUGGUGUGAUUCCGCUCGAGGAUCGGACCGCGUACUAUUAGCUUGUUGGUGGGGUAACGGCCUACCAAGGCUGCGAUGGUUACCGGGUGUGAGAGCAUGGCCCGGCUCACUGGGACUGAGACACUGCCCAGACAUCUACGGAUGGCUGCAGUCGAGAAUCUUCGGCAAUGGACGAAAGUCUGACCGAGCGACGCCGCGUGCGGGAUGAAGGCCCUCGGGUUGUAAACCGCUGUCAGUUAGGAGGAAAUCCCAUAGGGUUCUCUCUAUGGGUUGACCGAUUUUCAGAGGAAGGACGGGCUAAGUUCGUGCCAGCCGCCGCCGUAACAC